AGGGUGUAAACGCUGCAGACUUGGUGUUGGGAACCCUUCGGGGGUGUCCAGUGCCGGAGAGAAGUUGUUAAGUCUGCUACUUGGGGAGUACGUCCGCAAGGAUGAAACUUAAAGGAAUUGGCGGGGGAGCACCGCAACGGGAGGAGCGUGCGGUUUAAUUGGAUUCAACACCGGAAAACUCACCAGUGAAGACUGUUACAUGAAAGCCGAGAUGAAGACUCUGCUAGAUUUUCAGAGAGGUGGUGCAUGGCGUAGACGUGU
rnacentral:rRNA from 1 species